ensembl:lncRNA
GUGGAUUUUCGAAGAGAAGAUGUGUGAUUUUGGUUUACAUGUGAGCUUUUUGUCGAGGAAAUGCGUGAUUUUCAGGUUAAAUGGGGGAUUCUUGUAGCAAAAGCGUUUGAUUGUGAGGGUGAAAUGAGGAUUUUUGAAGAGAAAAUGAGUGAUUUUCAAGUUAAAAGGUGAUUUCCAAGAGAAAUGCGUGAUUUUCGGGAUUAAUGGGGGAUUCUCAAAGAGAAAAUGCGUGAUUUUUGGGUUAAAUGGAGUAACUUUUAAAGGGAAAUGCAUCAUUUUUGGGUUAAAUGGGAGAUUUCCGACGAGAAAUUGCGUUUUUAUCAGGUUAAAUGGGGGAUUCUCGAAGAGAAAAUGCAAGACUUUCGGUUAAAUGGGGGAUUUUGUGCGUAAAAAUGCGUGGCUUUCAGGUUAAAUGGGGGUUUGUCGAAGAGAAAAUGCAUGAUUUCUGGGUUGAAUGUUUUUUUUUUUUCCUUUAGAGAAAAGUGGUGAUUUUUGAUUGUGUAUUUUUCCAAGAGAAAAUGCAUGGUUUUUCGAUUAAACGGGGGAUUUUUGAAAAGAAAAUGCGUGACUUUCGGUUAAAUGGGGGAUUUUUGUGGUAAAAAGGCAUGGCUUUCAGGCUAAAGCGGGGAUUCUCGAAGAGAAAAUACAUGAUUUCUGCAUUGAAUGUUUUGUUUUGUUUUCGUUUAGAGAAAAGUGGUGAUUUUUGAUUGUGUAUUUUUCCAAGAGAAAAUGCAUGGUUUUUCGAUUAAAUGGGGGAUUUUUGAAAAGAAAAUGCGUGACUUUUGGGAUAGGUCAGAGAUUCUUGAAGAGAAAAUGCAUCAUUAUUGGGUGACAUGGGGGAUUUCCGAAGCGAAAUUGCGUUUUUUCGAGUUAAAUGGGGGUUUUUGAAGAGAAAAUGCAUGAUUUUCAUUUACAUGUGAGAUUGUUGUAGAGGAAAUGCGUGACUUUGGGGUUAAAUGGGGGAUUGUUGUAGCGAAAGUGUUUGCUUUGGGGCUCAACUGGGGGAUUUUUGAAGAGAAAAAGCGUGAUUUUCAGGUUAAAUGGGGGAUUUUCCUAGAGUAAAUGUGUGGUUUUAGGGUUAAGGGGGUAUUUUUGAAGAGAAAAUGCAUGAUUUGGGGGCUAAGAGGGGAUUUUCCACGAGAAAAUGUGUGAUCUUCGAGUUAAAAUGGGGAUUUUCCAAGAGAAAAUGCCUGAUUUUGGG